UACGUAGGGUCCGAGCGUUGUCCGGAGUUACUGGGCGUAAAGCGCGCGUAGGCGGCGGUGCUGGCCCGGCGUGAAAGCCCCCGGCUCAACCGGGGAGGGUCGUCGGGGACCGCACCGGCUUGAGGGCGGUAGGGGCUGGUGGGAAUGCCUGGUGUAGUGGUGAAAUGCGUAGAGAUCAGGCGGAACACCCGUGGCGAAGGCGGCCAGCUGGGCCGUCCCUGACGCUGAGGCGCGAAGGCGUGGGGAGCGAACGGG
rnacentral:rRNA from 1 species